rnacentral:rRNA from 1 species
AUUGAACGCUGGCGGAAUGCUUUACACAUGCAAGUCGAACGGCAGCACGGACUUCGGUCUGGUGGCGCGUGGCGAACGGGUGAGUAAUGUAUCGGAACGUGCCCAGUCGUGGGGGAUAACGUAGUGAAAAUUACGCUAAUACCGCAUACGAUCUAUGGAUGAAAGCGGGGGAUCGCAAGACCUCGCGCGAUUGGAGCGGCCGAUAUCAGAUUAGGUAGUUGGUGGGGUAAAGGCCCACCAAGCCAACGAUCGGUAGCUGGUCUGAGAGGACGACCAGCCACACUGGAACUGAGACACGGUCCAGACUCCUACGGGAGGCAGCAGUGGGGAAUUUUGGACAAUGGGCGAAAGCCUGAUCCAGCCAUUCCGCGUGCAGGAUGAAGGCCCUCGGGUUGUAAACUGCUUUUGUACAGAACGAAAAGGUUUCUACUAAUACUAGGAGCUCAUGACGGUACUGUAAGAAUAAGCACCGGCUAACUACGUGCCAGCCGCCGCGGUAA